rnacentral:ncRNA from 1 species
UACCUGGUUGAUCCUGCCAGUAGUCAUAUGCUUGUCUCAAAGAUUAAGCCAUGCAAGUCUAAGUACGAGCUCUCGUACAGUGAAACUGCGAAUGGCUCAUUAAAUCAGUUAUGGUUCAUUUGAUCGUACAGUUUACUUGGAUAACUGUGGUAAUUCUAGAGCUAAUACAUGCGAGAAGCGCCGACCUCGCGGGAGGCGUGCAUUUAUCAGACCAAAAACCGGCCGCGUCUUCGGGCGCGUUCGCCUUGGUGACUCUGGAUAACUUUGCGGAUCGCACGGUCUAGCACCGGCGACGGAUCAUUCAAGUGUCUGCCCUAUCAACUUUCGUCGGUACGGUAUUUGCCUACCGAGGUUCUUACGGGUGACGGGGAAUCAGGGUUCGAUUCCGGAGAGGGAGCCUGAGAAACGGCUACCACAUCCAAGGAAGGCAGCAGGCGCGCAAAUUACCCAU